rnacentral:rRNA from 1 species
ACAGGGAUUGCCCUAGUAACGGCGAGUGAAGCGGCAUCAGCUCAAAUUUGAAAUCUGGCUCUUUCAGGGUCCGAGUUGUAAUUUGCAGAGGGCGCUUUGGCGUUGGCAGCGGUCCAAGUUCCUUGGAACAGGACGUCACAGAGGGUGAGAAUCCCGUACGUGGUCGCUGGCCUUCACCGUGUAAAGCCCCUUCGACGAGUCGAGUUGUUUGGGAAUGCAGCUCUAAAUGGGAGGUAAAUUUCUUCUAAAGCUAAAUACUGGCCAGAGACCGAUAGCGCACAAGUAGAGUGAUCGAAAGAUGAAAAGCACUUUGGAAAGAGAGUCAAAUAGCACGUGAAAUUGUUGAAAGGGAAGCGCUUGCAGCCAGACUUGCCUGUAGUUGCUCAUCCGGGUUUUUACCCGGUGCAUUCUUCUGUAGGCAGGCCAGCAUCAGUUUGGGCGGUUGGAUAAAGGUCUCUGUCACGUACCUCCUCUCGGGGAGGCCUUAUAGGGGAGACGACAUGCAACCAGCCUGGACUGAGGUCCGCGCAUCUGCUAGGAUGCUGGCGUAAUGGCUGUAAGCGGCCCGUCUUGAAACACGGACCAAGGAGUCUAACAUCUAUGCGAGUGUUUGGGUGUCAAGCCCGAGCGCGUAAUGAAAGUGAACGGAGGUGGGAUCCCUUAAGGGUGCACCAUCGACCGAUCCUGAUGUCUUCGGAUGGAUUUGAGUAAGAGCAUGGCUGUUGGGACCCGAAAGAUGGUGAACUAUGCUUGAAUAGGGUGAAGCCAGAGGAAACUCUGGUGGAGGCUCGCAGCGGUUCUGACGUGCAAAUCGAUCGUCAAAUUUGGGCAUAGGGGCGAAAGACUAAUCGAAC